CCACGCCUGCGCAGCUCCACUAAUUAGGCGGGUGGCCCUUCAUUCUCUUGUGUGCGGCCGCCCAGGCGCACACCUUUGAGGGAACUAUUCGUGGACCACCUGAAUGGAGCUCGCAGACCACUGGUGGUCCACGGACCACAGUUUGAGAACCUCUGCUGUAGGGAUUAGACAUACCUAUAUUGCGGAAUAGAGAUCCUCUCUUCUCUGCAUGUGUUGUAUACCCAUUCAUGGAUUUAUUUCUCAUUUUAUGUUCUACAUUCUAGCUGGGCUCCCUUCUUCAGUAUGAAUUAGUUUUCUUAUGUAUUAUUAGCAAAUCUUCUGCUUAAUUACUGAUUUUUCAACUGCAGAAUUUAAUGUGGAUAGUAGAGUCCAAGGAACUGACCCUGACUGGAGGGAUGAGAAAAAUAUAUUUGCAAAAGUCUAAACAUGAUACCUCAAACUACUGCUUGCCCAAAAAAUUUGAUUAAAGUAAAUGGACUUCUGGAAGGUAGAGUAGAGCAGCUAAUAUUUGCUCCGAUAAUGUAAGGAUUAUUGGAAUGCUUGCAGGAAAAGAAUACCAGGCCCUACUUCAUUUCAUGACAUAUUAAUCACCAACACUCUUGAACUUUGUAUGCAGGAGGAUUUGCAAUAUGUGGAAAAAAAAUUAGUGACUAAUAAUAAUUUCAAAUUAUAUGUCUCUUUUUUUCUGGUGAUCUUGAAAUCCCCUGGAUCCGGGGGUGAGGUAAAAAGUUUGGGGACCACUGGAAUAGGAUCAGGAUUUCACCAUGUGGCAGGAAAGGAGUCAUGCUGGACGUGAUGUUAGUUGUGCAGGCAUUUGUGAUUUUACUAGCAUUUUGUGACUGGCCUGGAAAGAUGAUAUCAACUCCAAUGCUACUACAGCUAAUGUCUCAAGUGGUAGAGGGCUGCUUUUGUAUCUAGAGUUUGUUUUAACACUGAUGGUAUGUGUGUACAGGCUAGUUGAUAACUAUAAUGUCUGCUACCACUGCAAUUACCCACAGUAGUUGUCCUAGACAGUCUAUAUUAAAAUAUUUCUACCUUUAAUUUUAAUUAAUCAAAGCAAAGUGCAGUCCAUAAGAACAUCUUACUAAUUUUUUUUGGAACUAAGGACUUUAGGCCCUAAUUUGUAAAAUAGGUGAACAAAUAUGUAAGUCAAGUGUGGUGCACGGUGUCACAGAGUGACUGGCUCCUUUAAGGGGACAUAGUGGCCAGCCACACCUGGGCCAUAAUUAAUUAGCUUCUUGUGAGCCUCAGUGGGUAGAAUUAAGAGGGUCACAAGAUAGUUUAAUAGAUAGCUGGACCUCAUAAAAAGGCUGAGAGAGAUCAGUCUGGGAGUGGAAACACAGGGAGUGGGUAGGCUUCUGUAGAAGGCUCUAAACUAGGCUUUGGAAGAGCAGUAAUGAAAUCACAGGAAGUGGGCAAAUGCCUGUGGAAGCCUUUGAGGCAGCAACUGCUGGAGGCCGGGUACUCCAGGGGAACCAGCCUUGAGGCCCAGGGCUGUGUACUGGAACAGGGAAGGAUGCAAAGAAUGGAGCCCAGCAGAUGCUGAGAUCAGUACUCCAGGGGAAUGCGCCUGAGGAUCAUCAAGGCUAAACGCCGUGAAGAUGGAAAUAUUUUGUAGUAAAUGAGGAAAGGCAAUAGAGAGAUUGAGAAUGUUAUCAAGUGCAGAAUGGAUUAUGGUCAAAGAAGUGGAUGCAGAUGUCAUAAAAUUGGCACUGGGGACCUCAUCAGCUAAUUCAACAGCUUCAUAUACAGUAACUGACAAAGAGCAAUUCUAUUCUGGGUUGGAUGCUUGAGACAGCUAUCCGGAGAUUCCUGAGACAGCUAUCCGGAGAUCCCUUUCUACCUUCAAUUAAAUGUGCACACAGUGUCAUAGCAAACGGAUUAAUGUACAGAUGGCAAUGACUUUGUAUAAUGCUAUGCAAGCUUAACAGAAAUCCAUCAAAAUGCACAGCGCCAUCUGACGACCCGAUAUAUCUGGAGGAAUCAGUUUUGCAAAUUAUUCAUUGCUGUGGAUAAAAUAUGGGCAAAGCCUUAAAACCUUAGAAAGAGAGGUCACUUGGAAACAUUUUAAAUGAGUGGGAAGCCAUCACAACAGAAAUUCUUCAAAGAAUCAGUCAUUAAGGAAUGUAUUGUCACUUCAGUGCAUUCAGCUACCACAUAUAUUCUCAACUAGCUGCAGUAAAAUUCAAUCAUGUAACUCUUAUUAACCUAGUAAGUGACUGAAGGAGUGCACAAACCCCACACUGGAAAUGAAUGGGUUAAAGAGCUACUCUGGGCCCAAGUAGACAUGCCCCACUGUACCUGCACAGGCUGGAGGAACUCAAAAAGGUGAGCACAGUGGAGGAGAGCUGACCUACACUCUGAGCUCCUGCUGCCUGAGGCCUCGCUAUAUUGACCUGACCAAGCCUACAAAAAAGGAACCUGUGAUUCUGUAAAUUUCAGAGAUUUAUUUUUGUGUUUAGUUCUUUCUUUUUCCCCUGGGGUAGAGAGAGGACAGGUAGGAAGUGAUCCACGGAGGCAGCCAUAUAGAAUCAUAGAGUAUCAGGGUUGGAAGGGACCUCAAGAGGUCAUCUAGUCCAACCCCCGGCUCAAAGCAGGACCAAUUCCCAACUAAAUCAUCCCAGCCAGGGCUUUGUCAAGCCGGGCCUUAAAAACCUCCAAGGAAGGAGACUCCACCACCUCCCUAGGUAACAUAUUCCAGUGCUUCACCACCCUCCUAGUGAAAUAAUGUUUCCUAAUAUCCAACCUGGACCAUAUAGCACCUGAGGGUGCAGGGUUUAGCUGCCUACCAUUGCGCCCUGGAUUGGAGCCUGGUGGAGAGGGUGGGCCCAGGCUUUUCUACCAACCCCUAAAGAGCUACAAAUAUGGAAGUCUAUCCUUUGAAGUGGGACUGGGUUAGGGGAAGAUCCUGAAAGUACAAGGGUGUGAACCAUGACACCCUGACCCAAGGAAGAAGCCCUGAUUCCCUUGCUUAAUCCUGAAGACUUCCUAACAUUGGACUCUGUAUAUAUACCCUGCAAGGGGAGGACUUGGAAAAAGUCACCUGGCCAGAGGGCUGAUUGACUGAAAGGAUAGACCACAGUAGGGCAGGAUGAUAGUAAGAAAGUGUCAUGCCUGGGAGGAAGACAACCUCCCAUGCUCCUGCCACUGAUGGUGAGUGUUCCCCUGUAUAGUGCCGUAUAUCGUGUUAUAUGGCAUCUACAGUGCUGCAAAUAUUACAUAGAACUUGAGGAUAUUUAGCAUCUGACUAUAUGUCCAUAAGAGUGGCCCUUGUAAGUUUGUAUAAGUCCACAAGAUACCAACACAAUUAAUACUAAUGGGAUUUUCCUAGAACAGACUAAGCAAAGAUGUGAUUGAAUGUAAGAGUCCCAUUGACUUUCAUAACCUUUAUACCUUGCUCUAUCUAGCUUUGUAUAAGGUCGUCUUUCACCAUGGUACCUGUGGAUGUGUUGGAUAGAAAACGUUCCAUUUAUUAAGUGUACAUAGCUGCCAUUUUGGAUCGGUGAAAGGACAGCUGGUCAUCCAUCUUGGCACCCCUUCUCCUUUAGCUCUUGGGCUCUUUUUCAAGUUUGGCACCAAAGCAGAGGGAAAGGCGGGAAAGAUAGUGUCACGUGAUAGUGAAAUCUGCCUCGCAACAGGGAACGUACAUAAGGGUGUGUUCAAUCCCUGAGAGGAGGGUUCUUUCUGUGUCUCUGGAUGCUGUGAAAGCAGGUCAUCCCUGUGAGGCAUAGAAUCCCUGCCACACCACUGGCCUUGGUGCUAACUAGAGCCCUGAGGGAAUAAGACUUAAGGUGGACCAGUAACACCUAAUAAGGUUCCUUUGGACUUACCUUCACUCGCCUAUUAAACCAUCACACAUUGUAGUGUCCACAUUCAGCACACAGGACAUAGAGGUCAAGAGUAGAAGUCAGAAGACAUCCUGCCAAAGAUGUACUUACCUGUCACAGAGGUUCCUGAACUCCGAUUUCUGUUGUGUUCCUGAUCCUUCCCUGAGGUCCUGGUUCCCGUCUGUGUUCCUGUUCUCCUGUCCAGUGUCUGCAAGACAUGGUAUAGUCCUCUGUUAUUUUUGUAAACCCCAGUGUGUAAGGGUUUGGGCUCUGGGGUUCAUUCCCCAUUAUACCAUCUGUGUUAACAACUGAGCAGUUAUUCUUUGUGUUAUCUUAGUUGCAGGGAGUGCUAGUUUGUUUUUGUGUAUCUCAAUAAACACCAUUUUGUUGUUUGCAACCUUAA